rnacentral:tRNA from 1 species
GCACCCGUAGUGAAAUGGAUAUCACGCCGGUCUUCGGAACCGUCGUUGGGGGUUCGAAUCCCUCCGGGUGCA